UACAGAGGUCUCAAGCGUUGUUCGGAUUCAUUGGGCGUAAAGGGUGCGUAGGCGGCGCGGUAAGUCGGGUGUGAAAUCCCGGGGCUCAACCCCGGAACUGCAUUCGAUACAGGCAGGCUAGAGACCGGAAGAGGUGGGUGGAAUACCCAGUGUAGAGGUGAAAUUCGUAGAUAUUGGGUGGAACACCGGUGGCGAAGGCGGCUCACUGGUCCGGUUCUGACGCUGAGGCGCGAAAGCGUGGGGAGCAAACAGG
rnacentral:rRNA from 1 species